rnacentral:snRNA from 1 species
AGCUUUGUGCAGUGGCAGUAUUGUAGCCAAUGAGGUUUAUCUGAGGCACGAUUAUUGCUAAUUAAAAUG